rnacentral:snRNA from 1 species
AUCACUUCUAGGUCUUUUGGCUAACAACAAGUGUAGUAUCUGUUUUUAUCAAUCUACUAUUUAAGAUUAAUUAUUUGUAUAAAAUCCACAUUUACCAUUG